rnacentral:rRNA from 1 species
CACGUAGGGCGCAAGCGUUGUCCGGAAUUAUUGGGCGUAAAGAGCUCGUAGGUGGUUUGUUACGUCUGCUGUGAAAUCCUAGGGCUUAACCCUGGGCUUGCAGUGGAUACGGGCAGACUAGAGGUAGGUAGGGGAGAAUGGAAUUCCUGGAUGUAGCGGUGAAAUGCGCAGAUAUCAGGAGGAACACCGGUGGCGAAGGCGGUUCUCUGGGCCUUACCUGACACUGAGGAGCGAAAGCGUGGGGAGCGAACAGG